rnacentral:rRNA from 1 species
GAUGAACGCUAGCGGCAGGCCUAAUACAUGCAAGUCGAACGAUACUUUCCAGCUUGCUGGAGAGGAAAGUGGCGCACGGGUGCGUAACACGUAUGCAACCUACCUUCAUCAGGGGGAUAGCCCGGAGAAAUCCGGAUUAAUACCGCAUAAAAUCACAGGAUGGCAUUAUCCAAUGAUCAAACAUUUAUGGGAUGGAGAUGGGCAUGUGUGUCAUUAGCUAGUUGGCGGGGUAACGGCCCACCAAGGCGACGAUGACUAGGGGAUCUGAGAGGAUGGCCCCCCACACUGGUACUGAGACACGGACCAGACUCCUACGGGAGGCAGCAGUAAGGAAUAUUGGUCAAUGGAGGCAACUCUGAACCAGCCAUGCCGCGUGCAGGAAGACUGCCCUAUGGGUUGUAAACUGCUUUUAUCCGGGAAUAAACCUCAUUACGAGUAAUGAGCUGAAUGUACCGGAAGAAUAAGGAUCGGCUAACUCCGUGCCAGCCGCCGCCGUAAAAC